UACAGAGGAGCCAAGCGUUGUCCGGAUUGACUGGGCGUAAAGCGCACGCAGGCGGUCGCGCGCGUGGGGUGUGAAAUCUGGCCGCUUAACGGCCAGGCGCCAUCCCAUACGGCGCGACUGGAGUGAUGCAGAGGUCGGUGGAAUUGCCGGUGUAGUGGUGAAAUGCGUAGAGAUCGGAAAGAACACCAACGGCGAAAGCACUCUGCUGGGCCGACACUGACACUGAGAGACGAAAGCUAGGGGAGCGAAUGGG
rnacentral:rRNA from 1 species